rnacentral:rRNA from 1 species
AUUGAACGCUGGCGGCAUGCCUAACACAUGCAAGUCGAACGGAGAUAGGGGCAACCUUAUUUCAGUGGCGGACGGGUGAGGAAUGCGUCGGAAUCUGCCCUAUGGUGGGGGAGUAACACAGGGAAACGUUAGUGCUAAUACCGCAUAAUGUCGAGAGACCAAAGACAGGGGACCGGCAAGGCCUUGCGCGAUAGGAUGAGCCGACGCCCGAUUAGCUUGUUGGUAGGGUAAUGGCCUACCAAGGCGACGAUCGGUAGCUGGUCUGAGAGGAUGAUCAGCCACACUGGGACUGAGACACGGGCCAGACUCCUACGGGAGGCAGCAGUGGGGGAAUAUUGGACAAUGGGCGCAAGCCUGAUCCAGCAAUGCCGCGUGUGUGAGAAGG